rfam:Salmo salar isolate Sally breed double haploid chromosome ssa17, whole genome shotgun sequence.
GUUGUCGUGGCCGAGUUGUUAAGGCGAUGGACUAGAAAUCCAUUGGGAUCUUCCCGCACCGGUUCGAAUCCUGCUGACAUCG